UUUCAUUUGAUAAAAACGACAGUGUUACCCCUCAUGUUUUUUUCCAUGAUGACUGAUGAAAAACAACAGUGUUACCCCUUAUAUUUUAUUUGACAGGGACAAAUAUAUAUUUUUUUCAUGAAAGUUUUUUUUCAUGACGACCGAUAAAAAACGACAGUGUUACCCCUUAUGUUUUUUUCAUGACGACUGAUAAAAAAACAACAGUGUUACCCCUUGUGUUUUUUUUCAUGACGGCCGAUAAAAAACGCGAGUGUUACCCCUUAUGUUUUUUUUCAUGACGACCGAUAAAAAACAACAGUGUUACCCCUUGUUUUUUUUUUUCAUGAAGACCAAUAAAAAACAACAGCGUUACCCCUUAUGUUUUUUUUCAUGACGACCGAUAAAAAACAACAGUGUCACCCCUCAUGUUUCAUCUGAUAAAAACGAUGACUGAUGAAAAACAACAGUGUUACCCCUUAUAUUUUAUUUGACAGGGACAAAUGUAUUUUUAUUUCAUAUGUUUUUUUUCAUGACGACCAAUAAAAUACGACAGUGCUACCCCUUAUAUUUUAUUUGACAAAGACAACAGUGUGACCCCUUAUUCUUUUUUCAUGACAACCAAUAAAAAACAACAGUGUUACCCCUCAUGGUUUUUUUCAUGACGACCAAAGAAAAAUGACAGUGUCACCCUUCAUGUUUCAUUUAAUAAAAACGACAGUGUUCCCCCUUAUGCUUUUUUCAUGACGACCGAUAAAAAACGACAGUGUCACCCCUUAUGUUGCAUUUGAUAAAAACAACAGUCUUACCCCUAAUGUUUCAUUUGAUUAAAACGACAGGUGUACCCCUUAUGUUUAUUUCAUGACGGCCGAUAAAAAACACCGUCUGUUUAGAGUAUUAACCUCCAAACUUAUCAAUGCACCAUCAAGACACCGUAUGAAAGCCAACACAAUGGUUAUACUUGACUUUAUAAUUCGCAUGAAGUAGACAUAAGAGUCUUCCAAGAGAUGACAUCAACCGGACUUAAACCACGGUCUCCAGGGGGUUAGGCAGAGUACACUCCACUGCACCACUGAGCCGAUGACAAUUCACAAUGAUCAAUCAUCAAUAAAGAGAAUAUACAUGACAUUAAAAUGUAUGUGUUUUUUCUAUUAUUUCCUUUAUGUUUUUUUUCAUGACGACCAAUAAAAUACGACAGUUACCCCUUAUGUUUAUUUCAUGACGGCCGAUAAAAAACAACAGUGAUACCCCUAAUGUUUUUUUAUCCCUGUCGAUGUUUUUGCAGGGAUCCGAACCUGAGCUGUUUAGAGUAUUAACCUCCAAACUUAUCAAUGCACCAUCAAGACACCGUAUGAAAGCCAACAACAAUGGUUAUACUUGACUUUAUAAUUCGCAUGAAGUAGAGAUAAGAGUCUUCCAAGAGAUGACAUCAACCGGACUUGAACCCCGGUCUCCAGGGGGUUAGGCAGAGUACACUCCACUGCACCACUGAGGCGAUGACAAUUCACAAUGAUCAAUCAUUAAAAAAGAGAAUAUACAUGACAUUAAAAUGUAUGUGUGUUUUUCUAUUAUUUCCUUUGUUUUUUUUCAUGACGACCAAUAAAAUACGACAGUGUUGCCCCUUAUGGUUUUUUCAUGACGACUGAUAAAAACGACAGUGUUACCCCUUAUAUUCUAUUUGACAUAGACAACAGUGUUACCCCUUAUGUUUUUCUUCAUGACAACCAAUAAAAAACAACAGUGUUACCCCUUGUGUUUUUUUUCAUGACGACCAAUCAAAAAUGACAGUGUCACCCCUCAUGUUUCAUUUGAUAAAAACGACAGUGUUACCCCUUAUGCUUUUUUCAUGACGACCGAUAAAAAACGACAGUGUCACCCCUUAUGUUGCAUUUGAUAAAAACGACAGUCUUACCCCUCAUGUUUCAUUUGAUUAAAACGACAUGUUUA
ensembl:lncRNA